UGCUAAACCAAAAAAACUGUUUGAAAACACUCUUUGUAAAGCAUAAUUCUUGCCUUUAUGUCAUUUGUCGACAUUUUGUUUUCAAGUGUGUAAUAUGCUCAUUGUUGCCUCUUGUGGCCGUUGGGGUAAAAAACAGCCCCUACAACAGCGGUUCUCAACAGUCACAUAGCAGCGGGCCUCCAGCCUCAGGGGGCAGUCCUGAGUCAACGGCCGCUUGGUGCCCCAGAACGGGGCGAAGAAGGAGCCGAGCACGAAAACAAGACUCGGACAACCCACACAAAAGGUGUGCUUGUCCUGCUAUGAGCGGAACAUCUGUCACGUGUUGACGCUGAGGAGUGCGACCUCUCUGGUCCGCUUGAGCAGACAACUUCAUACUGCAGCAUCAUCGGCAUCUUCACAGCUUCACGUGUUUGAGAAGGAAACUCUACAUCUGUGGUUGUGGAAAAUCCUACUCCUGCAGGACACUCUGCUUGUAUUUGUAGCGAGUUCCUAUAUUCAUUAGAGAGACAUUUGACCUCUUAUCUUCUGGAAUGGGCUGCAGGACCAAAAUCCAUUCAUAAGCUGCGAGUUGGCUCAUCGAGACCAAAAUCUGAUGGGACUAAUUCUCCAGGUCGGUGCCAUUACAACCACUGCAGAAGAAUUAGAAGCGCACCAAUCAAACUUGGAAGAGGACAGUCUUUAAAUUAGUGUUUACCCGGUCAACAGUGAGCUAAUACCACAGGAGAAAUCAAGGAGGGAGGACCGACUGAAGGACCUGCAGCUCUUAUGGUAUCACUGAUGGGAAAUAAGCUUCAGUGAUUUUUUCUUAAUCCGAUCAUAAGGGGCACAAAGAGACUGAGCCUCGGCCAGAUAAUCAUGACAGGAGGGAUGAGGGAUUACUUCCGGUGGUGCUGCUCAGCUGGCAACCCGGGCUCUAGUGCUGCUGUGGAGGGAAUUGUUAUCUGACUUCACCUCACUGUUGCAUCUAGCUCUAUGAAUUAUGGGUUUAUCCUUUCAAUUCUGAUUUUUAAAAAUGUUUAUGUAUUUAUCCGUAUGUUUUAUGUCACAGGGAAUGUGACAUCUUUUUUAUUUUACAGUAUGUAAAUUAUUAUUGUGUCUUUGGUGUACUACUGUACUCUUUUGUCGGCUACGUAUUAUAUUUAUGUUGAUUGCAGCUGUGUGCGGCACUAU